GAAAAAUCGUGAGUGCGUUCAACGGCGCGGUGAUUUAUUAUACAGCGAAUAUUUCCCUCUUGGCUUGUGGACUAUUCGGCAAUGCCGCGUCUGGGCUGCCUGUCCUUCCCCAUGUAGUGGCUGGAGCAGCUAGAGAGAUUGUGAGGAAAUCAGAGGAAACAUAUUAACUGUGAGCCCAAACCCAGGAUCAGGAUCAAAUCAGGGACCCUGGAGCUGGCAAAGCUGUCUGCUGCACAACCAUGCCACAGUAGAUGAGAAGAUUGAGUGUAAAUUACGCCUGUGAGGUUCUGAAGACUAUCUAAAAACAAGAAUUUGAGUAAAGUAAAGGAAAAGGUCAUAUCCCAGGGGACUUGGGUCACAAGGCAAGGGGACACCCUGAAACUAACCCAUCACUGCAAAGGCACACGCAUACACCUGUUUACAAAAAAUGAACAAUUUAUAGAUGCAAGCAGCCUACAACACAUGUUUUUUGGACUGUUGGAUGAAACCAGAAAACCCAGAGGAAAAUUAUUGAACAUACACAGGAGUUGCAAGGCAUACAUGCUUAUUACUAAACCCAAUGUGUUAAUAUGGUUUUAGUCAAACUGUAUCAGUGAUAAAUGACAGAUAUUCUAUGCUUUGUGUAUUUUUAUUCCUUGUAUCUGCUCUGAAUGUAUAAAAUAAUGCAAUUCAGUGGAGACAGACUGCUGAAGUGGGAUGUUGUUUAACUCAAUUGAGAUUGACCUCAAUAUCUAGAAGCAUUCAGGGUGUUCCUGAGGUCCAGGGUGUGUGACUUCCUCUGAGACUGUUAUAAUCCAGUUUCUUCACUGCAUACUCAUUCUUACUGUUUCCUCAAUAGCUGGAAGCAAUUGUCCUGUUUCCUUCAGCGAAAGAAACAAAACGCAGGUAGAAGUUAAUAACGUUCCACCAUUUCUGGCCAGACUGUUGAGCAGAGAGACAAAAUCCUGUGACAAGUGACAUGUUUGUGCAGCGUUGUUGCCGUAUAACCAACUCGAGUGUAAAACAAGCCAUUGGGUGCAUGUGAGUUUCCUCUGAGUCACGAGUAUCAGGUGACAUGUGAGCAUUUCCCCUGAGGAGGGCAGCUGAAGCUGCGGCCAAGAAAACUGUCCACAGCCAAACCAGUACUACAGAAUGAUUAGUGUACAAAAGCACACUGUCCAUAAAUCAGUAAAUAAAACAUUACUGAAUGGCAAAAUA